UCAUCCAGUUGAAUCGAACCCUAAUCCGAAUCCGAAUCGAAUGACUAAAGAUAAUAGUCGCCCAUAAGAAGAAUGAACUGAAGAUGUUGCUGCUGUCAUAAAUGACUAUGAGCAUCGUCGAUUAGAAGAAUGUACUGAAGAUGACUAUUCGUUUCUUACUUCCGUCGAACUGGGGUUACACUAUAAAUCAGCAUUUCGGCUAUGAUGGCGAUUGCAAACGCUUUCAGUCUCGUGGAUCGGUGUUAGUGUCGGAAUUCAGGCUGCGAAAGCCGCCCUGAUCACUCGAUGAUGUACCGUGAAUGCCCAUGGUGCCCUGCAUCUGGAGUAGGAUUUCGUUUCCUCUAAAUUAUUGAGUUUUUCCCGGACAAGCAUCAUCCAGUUGAAUCGAACCCUAAUCCGAAUCAGCAUCAAUAGAACCAAUAAAUUGGUUUCUCAUGGAGUCUUUUCGUAAAGAGUCGGGAAAAGACACUUAUUUGCAGACAACGAGAAACGGUCAACAGUUAUUUGCGAGCUCUGAUUUUGAUUUGAAUAGAAAUUGAGCUUAAUCAGAAAGAGCUAUUCUUCGAGCUGUAAUCUGUUAGAUCAGAUGCUUACCAAGCCUGUGCCGUCGCGCUUUUAAUUCUAGCCCAAGCCUCAUCAGAGCUCUGGGAGAAUGGUCAGCUUUUAAAUCGCGUAUAAGUUUUCUUAAAAUUUUGUGAACUCCAGAUGGUAGAUUUGGCAUUGUUCUUAACAAGAAUUGGCAAGCAUCGAAAAUAGCAUCAAACACA